rnacentral:lncRNA from 1 species
CAAACCAAGUCUUUAUCGCAAUCAAUUAGGGUCAGUUACAUGAAUUAUUUUACGUCAUUGAGCUCAAUCAAGCAUCAAAUAUUUACCGAAAUUCAAUUCAAUCACAUCAUUUUUUACUAUCACAUCUACUGUUAAUUUCGGUCUGCUCCUUCCUUUAGGGUUGUCACUACUUAUAAUUAUAUCACUUUUUCUUACUACCGCAUCAGUAGACCUAAGACAUUUAUAUCCGAACCACCUAAGUUUAUUCUCUAUUAGCAUAUUCUCAAUUGUUACAACUCCUACCAUGUCACAAAUAUUAGCAUUUUUGAUUCUAUCAUUUCUAGUCUUACCACAUAUCUACCUCAACAUUUUCAUCUCAGGUACACUCAUUUUAGUCACAUGUUGUUUCAUAAGAAUCCAACAUUCUGUCACAUAAAGCAUCGUCAAUUUUAUAGUCGUUCUAUAGAAUUUUCUUUUUAAUUUGAGAGGUACUCUUUGAUAGCAUAAUACUUCAUAAGUCGCUCUCCACUCGAGCCAAUCAACUUGUAUCCUAUGCGUUUUAUAAUCAACAAUCUUACCAUCCUUGCUUAAAUAUAAAACCUACAUACCGAAACUUCUUG